ACGCUAUCACUCCUACGGGAGGCAGCAGUGGGGAAUAUUGCACAAUGGGGAAACCCUGAUGCAGCCAUGCCGCGUGUGUGAAGAAGGCCUUCGGGUUGUAAAGCACUUUCAGUAGGGAGGAGGUAGUGUAGUUAACACCUGCAUUAUUUGACGUUACCUACAGAAGAAGCACCGGCUAACUCCGUGCCAGCAGCCGCGGUAAUACGGAGGGUGCGAGCGUUAUCCGGAUUUAUUGGGUUUAAAGGGUCCGUAGGCGAAUUAAUAAGUCAGUGGUGAAAUCCUAUCGCUUAACGAUGGAACUGCCAUUGAUACUGUUAGUCUUGAAUGAGGGUGCAGUGGUUGGAAUGUGUAGUGUAGCGGUGAAAUGCAUAGAUAUUACACAGAACACCGAUUGCGAAGGCAGAUCACUAACCCUAAAUUGACGCUGAGGGACGAAAGCGUGGGGAGCGAACAGGAUUAGAUACCCUGGUAG
rnacentral:rRNA from 1 species